rnacentral:lncRNA from 1 species
CCAUCAAAAGGGUGAAAUCACGAACUAGCAUUCGUGAGGAGCUGAUCAGACGGAAGCUUCGUGUGGAUGAUCCGCAGAGGCCAGACAGUUGGGUGGCUGCGACGUGAUGAUCAGAGCCCUCCGACAGUGAUCAGAUUGCGAUGAUCGACUACCCGCAAAAGGUGAUGUGUUCUGAACACAGUACUGUAAAACGUUUACUGAUUCAAAUUUGAAUUUUAAAUUUAAAUGCAUGCUGUUGUAUCAUAUUUAGAUCC